GGGCCAAAGCCAGCCAUGACAUCCUCCCUUGAUGCCAAAAAUAAUUUAUCUUAGCCAAAAGGCUGAGAUGCUGAUAGGAACUUACCACAAAGAUAGGUUAGUACAGCUCAUCUGAAUAAGAUAUAUGAUACUGCCCAUUGCACUCUGUCCCCCUCAGCACUGACUCUUUAAGUCAUGGUGAGCCACUACAAUGAAUACAUUUCGACUUCCUUUUCACUCCCUGAGGACAGCUGAGCUUCUUC